AGAGCGAACGCUGGCGGCAGGCCUAAUACAUGCAAGUCGAACGGACCCUUCGGGGUUAGUGGCGGACGGGUGAGUAACACGUGGGAACGUGCCCUUUGGUUCGGAACAACUCAGGGAAACUUGAGCUAAUACCGAAUGUGCCCCCUCCUUUGAUUAGGGGGGUGGGAAAGAUUUAUCGCCAUUGGAGCGGCCCGCGUCUGAUUAGCUAGUUGGUGAGGUAACGGCUCACCAAGGCUUCGACGGGUAGCUGGUCUGAGAGGACGAUCAGCCACACUGGGACUGAGACACGGCCCAGACACCUACGGGUGGCAGCAGUCGAGAAUUUUCACAAUGGGCGAAAGUCUGAUGGAGCGACGCCGCGUGGAGGAUGAAGGUUUUCGGAUUGUAAACUCCUGUCACUGCAGAACAAGGAUGUAAUCGUUAAACAGCGAUCGCAUUUGAUGGUAUGUCGGAGAGGGAAGGGACGGCUAACUCUGUGCCAGCAGCCGCGGUAA
rnacentral:rRNA from 1 species